AUUGAACGCUGGCGGCAGGCCUAACACAUGCAAGUCGAACGGCAGCACAGAAGAGCUUGCUCUUUGGGUGGCGAGUGGCGGACGGGUGAGUAAUGUCUGGGAAACUGCCCGAUGGAGGGGGAUAACUACUGGAAACGGUAGCUAAUACCGCAUAACGUCGCAAGACCAAAGGGGGGGACCUUCGGGCCUCACACCAUCGGAUGUGCCCAGAUGGGAUUAGCUAGUAGGUGGGGUAAUGGCUCACCUAGGCGACGAUCCCUAGCUGGUCUGAGAGGAUGACCAGCGACACUGGAACUGAGACACGGUCCAGACUCCUACGGGAGGCAGCAGUGGGGAAUAUUGCACAAUGGGCGCAAGCCUGAUGCAGCCAUGCCGCGUGUAUGAAGAAGGCCUUCGGGUUGUAAAGUACUUUCAGCGGGGAGGAAGGCGGUGAGGUUAAUAACCUUGCCGAUUGACGUUACCCGCAGAAGAAGCACCGGCUAACUCCGUGCCAGCCGCCGCAGUAA
rnacentral:rRNA from 1 species